rnacentral:rRNA from 1 species
UGGCGGACGGGUGAGUAACGCGUGGGUAACCUGCCUCAUACAGGGGGAUAACAGUUAGAAAUGGCUGCUAAUACCGCAUAAGACCACAGCACCGCAUGGUGCAGGGGUAAAAACUCCGGUGGUAUGAGAUGGACCCGCGUCUGAUUAGGUAGUUGGUGGGGUAACGGCCUACCAAGCCGACGAUCAGUAGCCGACCUGAGAGGGUGACCGGCCACAUUGGGACUGAGACACGGCCCAA